UCUCCCGUCGUCUAGUUGGUUUAUGACACGGUGCUUAUAGAGGUACUUGCACACUGCCCCUGUGAACGGCCCGCUUUACUGCGGAGAGAAACGCCGUUGUCCGGGGUUCGAGUCCCCGCGGGAGAA